CUGGGAUUAGAUACCCUGUUAUUAAAAAUGUAAAAUUUAUAGAUAGAGUAGUAAUAGUUAUAUUCUUGAAACUUAAAAAAUUUGGCGGUAUUUUAAUCUAAUCAGAGGAACUUGUUUUAUAAUUGAUAGUCCACAUUAAAUCUUACUUAAUUUUGUUUAAUUUGUAUAUCGUCGUCAUAAGAAUAUCUUAAAAAAGAAAAAAUUUUCUUGAAUUUUAAUUUAAAUAAAUGUCAGAUCAAGGUGCAGUUUAUAGUUAAGUAAAAAUGAGUUACAAUAAAUUUAUUUAUAUGGAUAAUAGUUUGAAAAAAUUAUAGGAAGGUGGAUUUGAUAGUAAAAUGGUCUAUUUAAACUAUUUGAUUUUAGUUCUAAAAUAUGUACAAAUCGCCCG
rnacentral:rRNA from 1 species